rnacentral:rRNA from 1 species
UACAGGGGGGGGCAAGCGUUGUUCGGAAUUACUGGGCGUAAAGGGUUCGUAGGUGGCCAACUAAGUCAGACGUGAAAUCCCUCAGCUUAACUGGGGGAACUGCGUCUGAUACUGGAUGGCUUGAGUGUAGGGAGAGGAAUGCGGAAUUCCAGGUGUAGCGGUGAAAUGCGUAGAUAUCAGGAGGAACACCGAUGGCGAAGGCAGGCUCUGGGCCACUACUGACGCUGAGAAGCGAAAGCAUGGGGAGCGAACAGG